UGAAAUGCUGUGGAUUUCUUUGUGAAUCACCAUAUCUAAACUAAUAUGGUGGGGGUUUACAAAGUAAUUCAUAGUGCUUCA
ensembl:miRNA MIR876 microRNA 876